UCAUCCAUUCUUUCCUAAAGUUUUCAGAUUUAUUUUUAAUAAAAAAUUUUAAAAUUUUCUUUUUCUUUUCACUUUGUCAUUAAAGGUUAUUUGUUGUAAAUAAGGAGGAACUAAUUCUUGCAGCUGAAUCAGAUUCUGCAACAACUUCCUUCAACCAAUCAGCUCACAGUGAGACAGUAAGGCCACGCCCCCUUCAGCAGCAUCUCUGUGGAUGGAAAGGAUGUGGAGUCAGUGCAGAGCYGACAGCACCACCUGCUGGCCAACUGUGAGAACUACACCUCAGCUUCAGUUCACUGCUUUCUGAUAAAACCAGAAAAUAAAACAAGUUUCAUCCUAAGUUUGUGUUUUUUAAAAGCUACAAAACACAACAUUUCAUUCAGUUUAAUACAAGGUUCCUAAACAGCUUUUAUUUUUGAAAUUCCAGAAAUUUCCUGAUUCAAUUUUGGAUUUUAUCAGGGCUGAGUUUAUUGUAAUUAUUUUCAAUAGUAUUUAGAGACUGGAAAAUAAUAAUACUUUUAGGAACUAAGAGUUUUAUAAAAACUUCAUAAUCUAAAAAAUUAUGUUUUUGCACUGUGACCAAUAAAUACUAUGAGGAGUCCGCGAGGGGGAUUUUUUUCUUUUGCGUUACCUCGCAAUCCCUUUGUGUUCCCAUGCAAAAAGUUUGAUUUGUAUAUGAACUGAAUUAAAUCAGACUUUUAUUUUGAAAUAUCCARUUACCAAAACUGGCUGUGUUGCCACAAGUUCGUGAAAUUGACAUUGAUGUUGCGUGGCUGCAGUGUGUUAAAAUAUCAACAUAUGACAUACUUCCUUGUGUGUCUGUGUGAUAUAUUCAUUCUGAAGCUUAAUUAAAGCAGCAGGCUGACUCACUAAUGGUGAACAUGUGAGUUUGUUAACAAACCAGCAGCACAACAGUGAUAAACGACUUUUGUGUGGAAACGCAAAAUGAAAAAAAUCCCCGUGUCCCCUCGCAGGCUCCAUACUAUGAAGCUCUACAGUUUACAGUGUUCCUAAAUGUUUUAUUUGUAUAUAAUUGGCUCCGCCUCCUACAUCGAUCCGAGCAUCAACACAAACACGUAUUUCUCCAUAAACAUUUAUUUAACUAUUAUAAGAAAAAAUAGAUUUUUUUACACAUUUUUUGACUUUAUAUGACUUUUUAUACAGUACUUUCUGUGCGUUUAGAAAAAGUUUACAUCAGUUAAUGAAGCAGCAGAGCCACAAGUCAGAAACACAAAGGAUGCUGGGAAAAAACACACACACACACACA